GCAACGUGCUUCCUUUAACAUUUUAAUCCACAUCAGUCUUUACCUAUUUUUCUUUUCCACAGUAAAUCCAUGUUCCAAUGCGGAUGAUGUGAAGGUGAUUGUGUGCAUUGCUGAUAACUGUGAUCUCGGACACCUUAGAUGAUGACAGUUUGGUAAUCCUAGGUAUCGAGCUGUCCUGUGGGGUGAUGAGUACAGCUGGAGGUUGCGAUGAUCUCCAGUGGACGAAACAGCAGAGAAGUCAACAACAGACCGCAUGUUUGAGAGGCAAUUUGAUGUUGAUGCCAACCAAUGCUUGGACUGUGCAACCAGCUGAAGGAGGACAUCGUCAAUCCUAGACAGGUGAUUCUCCACAAGGUCAACUAUUCAAGUGAGCUCAACUGGACCAUGAUGGCGCCCUCUACUGACUGUAUGGUGACACCCGAGGAGAAGACUAUCUUGAGCCCGGUUCAUACUUCAUGCGAAUGUGAUGCCAAUUUGACGUGAAUUUGAUGUCACAGUUAGACAACUCUGUUUUCACUUGAGCACGACUUUCGUU